GACAGAGGGUGCAAACGUUGUUCGGAAUUACUGGGCGUAAAGCGCGUGUAGGCGGCCCUGCAAGUCGGAUGUGAAAUCCCACGGCUCAACCGUGGAAGUGCAUUCGAAACUGCAGGGCUAGAGUCCUGGGGAGGAAGGUGGAAUGCUUGGUGUAGAGGUGAAAUUCGUAGAUAUCAAGCGGAACACCGGUGGCGAAGGCGGCCUUCUGGACAGUGACUGACGCUGAGACGCGAAAGCGUGGGGAGCAAACAGG
rnacentral:rRNA from 1 species